CUCCCCUCUCCUUCAUGCAUAAGUGGGUGCAGGAAGGGGCUGUGUAUCUUCGAUAAGCUUAAACAAAUUCUCUCUGGCCUCAGUUAUGUCCUUUCAAAAUGGGGAAGGAAGGUUGGACUUGGUGUCCUCUCUGCUCCAUCUGAGAGUCGGUGCUGUUAAGGCCCUGGCAACAAAUGCUUGCCACCACUUAUGAAGCCUCUGUGCCAGGCACUGUGCUAAUCAUUCCCCUGUUGGGACCCUGAGACUUUUCAGACUUGGUCUCCCUCCAGCUUCCUGACAGAAGAACACCUAAGAGCCUUGGACCCUCUAGAGUGAUUGGCUGGAAGAGCCCUGAGCAGGGAGGAUUCCAUCUUCUACCUCAGUAAAGGCUUGGAGGAGGAAAUGAUCACCUGGGUCAAAUACUGCUCAGAGGACAAGCCAAACAGGGAAAUACCCACUGCGCUUGGCCACAUGGAGGUGAUUGGCAACACUGACCAGAAGUCAGUAUGCUUACUAUUUCCAUGAAGAAACCAAUGGAGUCAAUAGAACAGCAGAGCAGUUCAGUGCAUGGAUCUGAUCCAAGUUGCUUUGGUUAAAUUUUAACUCUGCUACCUACUAGCAUCUUGUACCUCAGUUUCUUCAUCUGCAAAAAGCCCUUGGAGAUCUCCUUUGGAGCCCUGGAAUACACAUUUUGUUUUAAUUUAUCCAGGAUCCAGAAAAGUCCUUCAAAGUACCACUUGGCUGAACCACAGAAGAGUGGCUCAUAGGCUGCCAAGUUCCAAACUGAGCUGCACAACUUACGAAUUCCUGCAAACAAAACCCUGGCCCUGCUUCCAAAGACCUGGAUGACUGCAUUCCUGGUUACCAGGAUACAGCAGAACAAGUUGCAAUGUCCCAUCACAGGAAAUAUAAAGAAUGCUCCAGCAACUGCCAGCAUUUUCCCACCAGGAUUCCAGCCAGCUGUCCUUUAUGCUGCUUGGCACAAGAACUGAAGAGGCAUUAAGAAUAGCAGCAGCUUCUUCAGUGCCAGGCACUGUGCUAAACACUUCCAUCCUGUGAUCCCCAGGCAGCAGUCAUUGCAGGCGUUUUCACUAAAUGGCUGACUCUGCCUAAGGUUGCAGGCUGAAUCUGCGUACUAGGAUUUUAAUCCUGGCAUAGCCACCUCUUGAGGGUCUCUGCCUGGGAAACAGACAGGAUGGAAGCACCCCAUUGAAGAAAUUUUUAGAUAUUAAAAAUUUACAAAUGUUUCCAUGUACCAGUCACCCAAUUUUCUUACUGAUACUAUCUUAUCUGUAUUUGUCAGAAGAAAUAAAUGUUGGUACUUUCUAAA